AAAGAUAUCAUGGAGAAAUCAUGUUGUAUGGUGGGAAAAGCAGUUUGGAGUCAGAAAAGGAGAGAUUAAAUUUUAAGAUAUUUCCUAGACUUUGGACAAAUUAUUUAAUCUCUGUGAACAUUGAUAUUUUUUUUGCUUAAAUUCUUUUAUUGGUACAUUUUAGUUCACCCCAUUGGCCCAGUGCAAAGGCAGACAAGGAGCAGAGUGUUGGAGUGAGAAGAAUGAUGACAGAAGCAGCAAGUGGAUCUCCCCUCAGCCUGGUCUCCACAUGAGGAGGCAGGACACCCUCCAUGGAAACCAUCAAUAAUGGGGAACAUUUUCCAGAGAAGAAUACAUCCAAACCAAACCCAGUAAAUGUUCAGUAACCUUCUGAAACUUCUGUCUUCUGCUGUGUAGAAAGAAGGAUAAUGGAAUUUAUAUUAGAAGGAGUCAGAGGGGAUUAAAAUGGCAAAUGUACAUUUACUGCUGAGCCUGGCUCAUAAAUGGAAGAUUUGAGAAUUGUUUUUCCUAUAAUUUACAAACUUUCCAAAAAAAUACUGUGAUGAAUUAAUAAAAAAUUAACAUUUGACAUUUUCUUACUUCUAAGACUCAUGUGGUGAUUGAAUUGACUGUUGAUUAAAUAAUCCCUGUGGAAAAAACCAAAGUAUUACAUCAUUAAUAU
rnacentral:lncRNA from 1 species